rnacentral:rRNA from 1 species
GAUGAACGCUAGCGGCAGGCCUAACACAUGCAAGUCGAGGGAGGAGCUUUCGGGCUUCGACCGGCGUACGGGUGCGUAACGCGUAUACAAUCUGCCUUUCACAUAGGGAUAGCCCGAAGAAAUUUGGAUUAAUACCUAAUGGUAUAUAGAGGUGGCAUCACCUUUAUAUUAAAGCUGAGGCGGUGAAAGAUGAGUAUGCGUUCUAUUAGCUAGUUGGAGAGGUAACGGCUCCCCAAGGCGACGAUAGAUAGGGGUUCUGAGAGGGAUAUCCCCCACACUGGUACUGAGAUACGGACCAGACUCCUACGGGAGGCAGCAGUGAGGAAUAUUAGACAAUGGUCGGAAGACUGAUCCAGCCAUGCCGCGUGCAGGAAGACGGCCUUAUGGGUUGUAAACUGCUUUUGCAGGGGAAGAAUAAGGACUACGCGUAGUUUGAUGACGGUACUCUGCGAAUAAGCAUCGGCUAACUCCGU